rnacentral:lncRNA from 1 species
AGGUCCGCGAUGGUCUAUCUUCGACGCCUCCUGGUGAAACUAUUAUCAGUAAAGAAGAACUUACCGAUGGACAAAAAGAAGUAGCACUCACUCCUGGAAGUUGUCAGACUGCUGAGGAGUGGAAGGAUGACCAAAAACCACCGACUAAUCCUGAUAAACCAACUGAUCCUGAUAAACCAACUAAUCCUGAUAAACCAACUAAUCCUGACAAACCAACUAAUCCUGAUAAACCAACUGAUCCUGAUAAACCAACUAAUCCUGAUAAACCAACCGAUCCUGAUAAACCAACUGAUCCUGAUAAACCAACUAAUCCUGAUAAACCAACUAAUCCUGACAAACCAACUAAUCCUGAUAAACCAACUGAUCCUGAUAAACCAACUAAUCCUGAUAAACCAACGACCGAUUCUGAAAAAAAUCCAUCAAAGCAAACUUGAGCAGCAACCAUCAACAUCAACUAAGAAAUCAACAAACCAAAACGCCUAGUUCUGAAAACUAAAAAUAAGGAAUUACAAGCAGAUAAAUAAUAUUAUUAUUUAUAUUCGUCAUAGAAUAUUUUGUAUUUUGCACAGACUCGUACAAUGUACAGAAACACGUGCAUAGAUUUGUCAAAAUUCCGGGGAUUUCGAAGAGUGAAAAGUCGCCGAACAUCUUCAAGCUUCAAUUACUAAAUUGUUAAAUUAACAAUUUACAGUAACUGUACCUGGUAGAUAUUUUGUUGACAAAGAUAUUCCCAGGCAAUGGGUGCAACUACUGCCACCGUUAUGGAAAUAAAUCGUUGAUUUAAAAAGUAACACUUUUAAAAUCAGGUCUCCCAAGUUGAAGAUUCAUGAUCGUCUUAUUAUGAGGGAAAUUAAUUUUCAUACAAUUUGCAGAACACUUCCUGCGUGAAGUGUCUGCAAUACAUGGAUGCGUGAUACAGUAUAUAUUUGAAUAAAAAUUUGCGGUAAAUUUGUCACGCCAUGACUCAAAUAUUAGAUAUGGACGCUGCAAUUGUUUAUCGGCAAUGCGGAAGAUAAAUUUAGUUGCACAUAUGUAUACAAACAUUGAAAGAUUGCAUGCACUUAACUUUGUUUCAUAUUUAAGUAUUUUUUGUUCGUCAUUGUGUCUUGCGGAUAUGAGUUCCAAAUGAGGACUCAUAAGCGACGCCUUUAUGACUCUUUUCAUGAUCUUUUGUGAGACGAAUUUGAUGAACAUUUUGCAUCACUUUGUCUACCUGGGUACGCAUAUGAGCAACAGACGCUGCAAUUGUUUAUCAGCAAUGUGUGAGAUAAAUUUAGUUGCACAUAUGUAUACAAACAUUGAGACAUUGCAUGCACUUAACAUUGUUUCAUAUUUAAGUAUUUUUUAUUCGUCAUUGUGUCUUGCGGAUGAGUUCCAAAUGAGGACUCAUAAGCGACACCCUAAUGACUCUUUUCAUGAUCUUUUGUGAGACGAAUUUGAUGAACAUUUUGCAUCACUUUGUCUAUCUGGGCUGUUUCAAUAUUCCGUAAGACAUUUUCCGGCAUCUUCCUUUCGAGGUCUAGAAUGAUUUUGUGAUGUGCGCAGAUAGAUAACGCUUUUAUAAGAAGUUAAGCAUUUAAAUUUCAUAUCUUCAGCAUAACGGUGGGAGGGCAAAUCCGUCACGGCCAUGAGUAUGAUACAUCUGAUGUAACGACUGCUCAGUCAAUAGUAGACGACGAAUCAAACUUGUCAAACAGUUUUCAUCCACGAGAUGUUUACGUUACGUUUUCCAAUAAUUUCCUGGAUUUUUGUUUCUGUGCUCGUGGGGUGUUUCAUCGACUGCGAGGGAAUUUUUUGUGGUGGUAAGGGGGAUUUUUAAUCAGAUUUAUCAUCACGAAAAUACUGCAUAUAAUUUACAGGAUGUGGAAUAAAUAAUGACAUUUCAAAAAUAAACAUUAGAAUAUAGGAGAUAAUUUCUCGAGACUUUUGAUCAGAUUUAUCAUCACGAAAUUACUGCAUAUCAUUUACAGGAUGUGGAAUAAAUAAUGACAUUUCAAAAAUAAACAUUAGAAUAUAGGAGAUAAUUUCUCGAGACUUUUGAUCAGAUUUAUCAUCACGAAAUUACUGCAUAUCAUUUACAGGAUGUGGAAUAAAUAAUGACAUUUCAAAAAUAAACAUUAGAAUAUAGGAGAUAAUUUCUCGAGACUUUUAAUCAGAUUUAUCAUGAUGAAAUUACUGCAUAUAAUUUACAGGAUGUGGAAUAAAUAAUGACAUUUCAGAAAUAAACAUUAGAGUAUAGGAGAUAGCUUCUCGAGAUUUUUAAUUAUAUUUAUCGUCACAAAAUUACUGUAUAUAAUUUACAGGAUAUGGAAUAAAUAAUGACAUUUCAGAAACGGUA